AGUAACGCGUGAGGAACCUGCCUUCCAGAGGGGGACAACAGUUGGAAACGACUGCUAAUACCGCAUGAUGCGUUGGAGCCGCAUGACUCCGACGUCAAAGAUUUAUCGCUGGAAGAUGGCCUCGCGUCUGAUUAGCUAGUUGGUGAGGUAACGGCCCACCAAGGCGACGAUCAGUAGCCGGACUGAGAGGUUGGCCGGCCACAUUGGGUCUGAGAUACGGCCCAGACUCCUACGGAAGGCAGCAG
rnacentral:rRNA from 1 species